rnacentral:lncRNA from 1 species
CUCCCCAUUUGCAGGAAAUUAUUUAAAAUUUCUUUUCAGAUAUCACACUAACAUUUCAGUGCAAAGUGGCAUCUAAUUGUAAAAUACCACAGGCACAGUAUAAACCCAGUUGAGCUGAUUCUCCAUUGUCUUCUUUCCUUUGCCAUAAUUAAUAAGAAUGGCCAUGCUGUUCAUCUACCUUGCACAGGUUUGAAUGACAGCUCAAGGUGCAAGGGACACUCUGUGUUCUCAUUUGAAUGCAAACUGAAAUACCAUCAUGAUUUAUUUUACAGACUUCAUUGGACCUGGGAGAAUUAGAAACUUCCCUGAGGAAACAAGUCACUGGCCACUCAUGGAGAUUUGCCAAGGAGAUUGUGCAGCAGAUAAAUUACUGACGUAUAAAAGGAAAAAGACUAAGAAAGAAAAAAAAUGCAGUAAGAACAAAAUAGAAAAUAUGGAUGAGUUAUACGUCCACUCCAAUAUGUCGCCUCCACUGUGGAGAGGUAUCAAUUUUCACAAUGUAGCCACACCUUAGGAAAAGAGGAGGAGAAACAACCUCAAUUUAUGGGAAGCCCCUAUACACAGUCACCAGGAACAAGGAGGGAAAGGAAAACAAGAACAACCCAUGUUUGAAGAACUGUGUUUUGAUGUACCUUCUGUAUCACAAUUACUCUGUAGCUCUGUAACUCUGUACAGAACUGAUUUACACCAUGCAUUUGAAGAGGAAACCCUGGAGACUAGGCAUACGUCUUUUUGACCAAAUGUUCCAAAACACUGUCGAUAAGGGACUUGGAAAAAGAUUCUAUAUACAUCCCAUCAUCCUGCAGGCAGUGAAAUAUCAACGAGGAUAAUGCAGUAGGAACUGUGGCCUGAAAGGAGAAGGAAUCCUUCAUUCAAAGCCUGUAAGAUCACUUCACUAUUUAUAUUCAGUGCAUUUCCAGAAAACAGACUGAAGGAGGAAUCAAAUAGAGUUUUAUGACUUCAUAACUUUUAAAAGUCUCUUUAAAGCUCUUCAUUAUUAUUCACUCUUCAAAGACAGUCUGUGGCAUUACAGAGUAUUAAAGGAAAAAGCAAGCUUUGAGAACCAAUUACUAGAAAGCAAGACUACAAAACACAUUUAUCUGUUACCUUAUCAAGAGUGGAUAAAGAUUGAUUUGGAGAGGAAUGUCUGCCUUCAUGACAUUCACUGCUGAUAAAUCACCUGUCAGAAGUCCUGCUGAUAAAUCACCUGUCAGAAGUCCUCGGGGAAUGUACAUGUGGCUAAAAUUAGUGAACACAUCAUAGUACUAAGGACAUCCAUGGCUCAGGUUGGUGAAAAGCAGUGUCCUUAUCAUUGGAUCUUAUAUAUAUAUUAUAUAUAUAAUUAUAUUAUAAUAUAAUAUAUAUUAUUACUGCUGAUAAAUCACCUGUCAGAAGUCCUCGGGGAAUGUACAUGUGGCUAAAAUUAGUGAACACAUCAUAGUACUAAGGACAUCCAUGGCUCAGGUUGGUGAAAAGCAGUGUCCUUAUCAUUGCUACAUCUUCAGCAUAAGUCAGGGUGAGUAACAUCUGCCUCCAUAGCCUGUAGCUCCAGAUUGCUCCUGAAUGCUGUAGUCUCUAAAUAAUAUCUUGUAAUUUACUCAGCGCAACAAAUCCCUAAGAGGACUCCAUGAUACCUUCCUAUUUCUCCCCUUCUCAGGGCCAACACACUGCUUGACAAAUUAAUGUGGGAUAUGAUUUAACUUUCAGGUUUUAAUAAUUUAAUUUUGUGUAUGUUUACUGCAAUGUUCUAAGGUUUCCAUUAAAUAUGUAUUUAUAUUUCCCCCCCUGCCCCUCCCUUCAUUGCCCCUUGUUAUAGAAGUGUUUGUGUCUGGGAAGCAGGGAUUGGUCAGUAUUGUGGGAGUUGUUCUUGUCAUGAGUGGACUUAUUUAAAGGAGAGCUUGUCUUACUAUCUUCUCUGAAGAUGCCUGGACUCUGAAAUCAUCUAAUUUCCUUUGCAAUAUUCAUAGUUAGAUCAUUUUGACAGACCAUGGUCUAUCCUUAGCUCUCAUGUAUGUCACCCUGACCUCUGAGAUCUCUAUUAUAAGCCAGCCAAGUGUAAUACCUUUAAAGGGAAGUUUUUAAUAGCAAGAGGAGCAAGGUAAGAAUAUGUGUGCAUGUGCAUGUAUGUGAUGUGGGAGACGAGGAUCAAAGGAAAUAAGUGAUAUCUGGUCUCCAUCAGGAAAAGCAAGCUCUGCAUGGUUCAGGAGGUACCUUUCAACCCUUCCCAUAUUCCUAGUUUGAAUGGCAGCUUUAUAUUGCAUUUCUUUUUUUUUAAAAAAAAAAUUGGCAUAAAAUUAUGUAUUUUUUUUAGUAGUAACACCUUAACAGCAGUUAUAGUAGCAGAUUUAUCAAGAGCCUUUGCUGCAGGAAGAGUUGGUAUAUACAGUUUACUGCAGGAAGAGUUGGUAUAUACAGUUUGCUGUAGCAACUGACAAAUGCAUUGACUGAAGCAAGAAAAAAACCAUGUUGGGAAGAAAGAAUAUGUGACCUAGACUUUUAUGAGGCCAAGCUACUAACAGCCCUAGGUGUGUGCCAGGGAAGGAAUAAGAUGAGAUUGGCCCCAGUGUGUACUGGCAGCAAAGCCAGCUGUUGUGCUGUGGGAUAUAAGCUCCUUGAGAAGUUCUGCCCUGAGGUUCAGAGCUAAGGCCCUUGGAAUUCUUCUAGGUGAGCGUGGCUCAGCUUGUGACCUGUGCAAUGCUUUCAUCUGGCUCACCACAUCUUCCCUGGAGCAGACAGGGAGCAGCUGAGGCGGGAGGGAGCAGCCCAGGCGGCUGAAUCAGCCCCAGGCCUGCCACAGAGACAGGCAUGCCAGGCUGCUGCUGCUGCUCAGGAUGGGGGGCUGCCCAGCACAACCCUGAGUCUCUGGGUGAGGCUGUGGCAGGAGCAGGAUGGUGAUUCUGGGGCUAGGAGGGCUGGGAAGGGAGUGCCCUGGGGUGGGAGUGGGUUUUGUGGAGCUCAGAGACAGACAUGUCUGCAGGUAGGUGAGUGGGAAGAAGAGUUCAUUCCCAGAGCCUUAAGCUGGCCACAGAAGAGCUGAAGGCUGGAAUGCUCCCUCCAGUAUCCUGCCAAAUGUGCCUGAGGAGCCAAUGUCUUUUUCCUCUUCUUUUUUCUUCAUAUGGACCUGCCAGACCAACAAUUAUCUCAAGUCAAAAGGAGCUCCAGAAGGUAAGUCUUGAACGAACUUUGACUUCUGGUUAAGAGACAGCAAUGGAUGCUGCCCCUCUGUGCACAAACUGUAUGGAAUCAGUGGGAAUCAAGGAUUUGGCUCUGCUGGACUGAUUUUCCAUGCUUAUUACUUUACCACAAUGUACCCAGGCGAGGAGACUCAGCUGCCAGUAUAGUUUCUGGGAGGAAGAAUCUGCAUGACUUUGGUUUCUGAGUAUUUUUUAUUCUGCUUUGCUCUGCUUGUGCUUGCUAAAUGCUGGACUGUAAUUGUAAUGGAGACUUUAACACUGGGACAGGAGUUUGAGAGAUUCACUGCAGACUUACUGAAAAGUUCUUGUGGACAUUGUGCACAUCCAGAAGAAAUAGAUGGAGGUAGACAAUAAAAGUUUUUAAUUAAAUGUUUGAAUCCA